rnacentral:rRNA from 1 species
UCGCCAGGGUUUCCCAGUCACGACGCAUAUCAAUAAGCGGAGGAAAAGAAACCAACAGGGAUUGCCUCAGUAACGGCGAGUGAAGCGGCAAGAGCUCAAAUUUGAAAGCUGGCUCCUUCGGGGUCCGCAUUGUAAUUUGCAGAGGAUGCUUCGGGAGCGGCCCCCAUCUAAGUGCCCUGGAACGGGCCGUCAUAGAGGGUGAGAAUCCCGUCUGGGAUGGGGUGCCCGCGCCCGUGUGAAGCUCCUUCGACGAGUCGAGUUGUUUGGGAAUGCAGCUCUAAAUGGGUGGUAAAUUUCAUCUAAAGCUAAAUACUGGCCGGAGACCGAUAGCGCACAAGUAGAGUGAUCGAAAGAUGAAAAGCACUUUGAAAAGAGAGUUAAACAGCACGUGAAAUUGUUGAAAGGGAAGCGCUUGCGACCAGACUCGCUCGCGGGGUUCAGCCGGCCUUCGGGCCGGUGUACUUCCCCGCGGGCGGGCCAGCGUCGGUUUGGGCGGCCGGUCAAAGGCCCUCGGAAUGUAACGCCCCCCGGGGCGUCUUAUAGCCGAGGGUGCCAUGCGGCCAGCCCGGACCGAGGAACGCGCUUCGGCUCGGACGCUGGCAUAAUGGUCGUAAGCACCCUCUAC